rnacentral:rRNA from 1 species
GCUAGCGUUGUUCGGAAUUACUGGGCGUAAAGCGCACGUAGGCGGCUUUGUAAGUUAGAGGUGAAAGCCCAGGGCUCAACCCUGGAAUUGCCUUUAAGACUGCAUCGCUUGAACAUCGGAGAGGUAAGUGGAAUUCCGAGUGUAGAGGUGAAAUUCGUAGAUAUUCGGAAGAACACCAGUGGCGAAGGCGACUUACUGGACGAUUGUUGACGCUGAGGUGCGAAAGCGUGGGGAGCAAACAGG